rnacentral:rRNA from 1 species
AUUGAACGCUGGCGGCCGGCCUAACACAUGCAAGUCGAGCGAGCGGCGGCCGGGUGCGUAAUGUAUGGGGAUCUUCCCGAUCGAGGGGGAUAACUACUGGACACUGUGGCUAAUACCGCAUACUAUCGGAUGAACCCAUCUGGGAUUAGCUCGUAGGUGGGGUAAAGGCGCACCUAGGCGACGAUCUCUAGCUGGUCUGAGAGGAUGAUCAGCCACACUGGGAUUGAGACACGGCCCAGACGCCUACGGGAGGCAGCAGUGGGGAAUAUUGCACAAUGGGCGCAAGCCUGAUGCAGCCAUGCCGCGUGUAUGAAGAAGGCCUUAGGGUUGUAAAGUACUUUCAGCGGGGAGGCGUUACCCGCAGAAGAAGCACCGGCUAACUCCGUGCCAGCAGCCGCGGUAAUUC